rnacentral:rRNA from 1 species
AAUCAACGCUGGCGGCGUGCCUCAGACAUGCAAGUCGAACGAUUAAAGCUCCCUUCGGGGAGUGCAUAGAGUGGCGCACGGGUGAGUAACACGUAAGUAAUCUACCCUCGGGUGGGGAAUAACGUUCGGAAACGGACGCUAAUACCGCAUAAUGCAGCGGCACCGCAAGGUGACAGUUGUUAAAGAUUUAUUGCCUGGGGAGGAGCUUGCGGCAGAUUAGCUUGUUGGUAAGGAACGGCUUACCAAGGCUACGAUCUGUAUCCGGUCUAAGAGGACGGUCGGACACACUGACACUGAAUAACGGGUCAGACUCCUACGGGAGGCAGCAGUCGGGAAUUUUGGGCAAUGGGGGAAACCCUGACCCAGCAACGCCGCGUGAAGGAUGAAGUAUUUCGGUAUGUAAACUUCGAAAGAAUAGGAAGAAUUAAUGACGGUACUAUUUAUAAGGUCCGGCUAACUACGUGCCAGCCGCCGCAGUAAC